rnacentral:rRNA from 1 species
UACGGAGGGUGCAAGCGUUAUCCGGAUUCACUGGGUUUAAAGGGUGCGUAGGUGGGUAAGUAAGUCAGUGGUGAAAUCUCCGGGCUUAACCCGGAAACUGCCAUUGAUACUAUUUGUCUUGAAUACUGUGGAGGUCAGCGGAAUAUGUCAUGUAGCGGUGAAAUGCUUAGAUAUGACAUAGAACACCCAUUGCGAAGGCAGCUAACUACACGAUCAUUGACACUGAGGCACGAAAGCGUGGGGAGCAAACAGG